rnacentral:rRNA from 1 species
AUUAGAUACCCUGGUAGUCCACGCAGUAAACGAUGAAUACUAGCUGUCCGUGGCGAAUGAGCCCUGGGUGGCACAGCGAAAGCGUUAAGUAUUCCACCUGGGGAGUACGCCGGCAACGGUGAAACUCAAAGGAAUUGACGGGGGCCCGCACAAGCGGAGGAACAUGUGGUUUAAUUCGAUGAUACGCGAGGAACCUUACCCGGGCUCAAACGCCGUCUGACGUAGGCUGAAAGACUUAUUUCUUCGGACAGACGGCGAGGUGCUGCAUGGUUGUCGUCAGCUCGUGCCGUGAGGUGUCGGCUUAAGUGCCAUAACGAGCGCAACCCCUUUCAUCAGUUGCCAUCGGGUAAUGCCGGGCACUCUGGCGACACUGCCGCCGCAAGGUGUGAGGAAGGUGGGGAUGACGUCAAAUCAGCACGGCCCUUACGUCCGGGGCUACACACGUGUUACAAUGGGGCAUACAGAGAGUUGGUCAUGCGCAAGCAUGAUCGGAUCAUGAAAGUGUCCCUCAGUUCGGACUGGGGUCUGCAACCCGACCCCACGAAGCUGGAUUCGCUAGUAAUCGCGCAUCAGCCAUGGCGCGGUGAAUACGUUCCCGGGCCUUGUACACACCGCCCGUCAAGCCAUGAAAGCCGGGGGCGCCUGAAGUCCGUGACCGCGAGGGUCGGCCUAGG